AAAAAAAAGUGUAAGUAUUUUGCUUAAAUUAUCGAUUUCCUCUCUUUCUUGGCAGAGUUACCAGAAGAAAUACAAUACUCCUUCAGGAGUUCACUUCCCAGCUGCUGAAGUGAGAGACUGGGACUAUCCUCCCCCAGCACCACUGACCUCAGCCACCAUGGCAGUUGCUGGCCUGGUCCCCCCAAAAAGCUGCAAAAGAAGGAAUCACUCAACUAGAGAUUAAGCAUAUCUCCUCCUAAAGCUUCCCCUCCAGCAGCUUUUGCCUUCAACGAUUCCCUCCACAGACGAACUCUUUUGCCACUAGAAAUGGCAUUUCUGCAAUAGCAAGAGUUUCUGUGUUUUACUGCAUCUCAGGGAGAAUCCUAUUGACCGUCUACAAUUUCAGCAUGUGCCAAAACAAUGGUGCCUGCAACAACAAAUACCACGUUACAGAAGGUAACACCAAUAUGUCAUACUGUAUAUUUUCCCAGCUGCAUGGAGCGUCCUAACCCACUGAAGUCCUUUGCAUUUUGCUACAUUUUCAGUGCUGAAGAGCUCAUCUGGAAAUGCAAGUCUGCAGAGACCUGCUGCAGAGACUCAAUCUCUUCUACGGAGAAAAUCUGCUGUCUGCAUAAAAGCCAUCACCAGCCUGCCUCCAGCCUGACUGGAAGGGUCAUACAGAGGAACAAAUAGGUCAUAGUGGCUAAGCCCCCCUUUCAACCUUGGCCCUGUGGCAGAGAUGGCUAACACAGGGACCAACUGCACUUAUUUGUGUAAUCGGGACACACCUGUUGAGUGGCAGGGUCUCCAUGCAUUUGCAAGUCAUGGCCCACCAACAGACAGCCAAGAGGGAAAAGCUAUUUAUGUCAGGAGCUCCUGUUGCUGUCCUCAAGAAGUUGGCGUGCUUUCAGUACAGCUCUUCCAGCAUAAAAAUUCCACCUGAAUUCCUUUAGCACAUGGCCCAUUUUUAGCUUACCGCCAGGUUCAGUCUGUCUUCUGCACUCAACCCCCUCCUAUGUGACGUGGGUUCAAGCAACACCAAGAUGGAAGACAGCUCUACUGACUUCUCUCACUGCUCCUUGCCUCCAGUGGUGCCACUAAGCUACCUCGGUCAGACAUUAGCAGGCAGUGCAAGCAGGCUACACAGCCUCACAGAUCCUGUGAACGAUCCACCUGCAUGAAGAAGCCAGAAACUUCUAAUCAGAAUAGAGUUUCUGUACACGCAGCAAAGACAGGCAUCCUCACAGAGACUUCCAAAAAAAUCCCCACCUAUCAUCACCUGCUCGGAGGCAGAUCACUGCCAUCAGAUCCCUCCUCCCUCACUGAUGAUCCCCUACCCCGCAAUGGGAACUCAGAUAGAAACUCCAGGCAGGAUAAUGCUGCUCUCAAGGACCCAUGUAGUCCAUUUGGAGCUGAAAUCUAGGCUGCUUAAAAAAUUAAUAGCCCAGGAAGAUCCGAGCAAACCUGCAGCUCCUCAAUAGCCAUCAUGUACGUUCUGAAUUGAAAGAGCAGACUGUCAAGGUAAUAUUGGUACAGAGUGAAAUAGCACAUAGUUAUUUCACUCAUGCUGCUUACAGGAACAACAGCAAUAGGCACAGCAUACAUUUCCAAAGCCCUGAACUAGAUAAAAUUCUUCUGCUGCUUUGAACUUGUGAAGAUUGUAAAGGGAGGGUACGCAGGCCCCUUACAAUUUCCCAUUCCCACAUCAAGAAAUUGUUUCGAUAACUUUGGCAUUCUGGCUGCCCAGAAGUGGUAGUUUAAGACAGUAAGAAUCUAACAGGCGUUCCUAAAACGCACAGACUUUUCCAGCACAAAGCAAUAGCUGUGUGCCCUCUUCCAGGCUUUAGCUGUUAUUGCAGUAUCCUCCCUAGAGAGUUCCCCUGUGCACUGUCUGCACCAGCUCAUCGCCUACUUCAGUUCUGACUUAAAGAUGGCAAAACAGCUCUUAAAAGAUGAAGGAAAUGGAAGGAGCUUUCCAUGCUGCCUCACUCCCUCCCCCUCCAGUACUGAAGGCAGAGGUCUCCAAUGAUUGCUGCAGUUUGCAUUUGGAUUUGACUUGCAUAGAUUGGCCAUUUCCUGCUCCUGCAGGUGUAUAUAUUUUUCCAAGAUCUGUAGAAAACACUGCCUUUAUUAACUCACAGAAAUGCUUACACUAGUUCUUAAAUACUCUAAGACAAUAAAGUCCCCCAUUAACUAAUCUAUUUUUCUGGUCUGGAGAAGACCUGACAGUGCUAGUGGGCAAGGCAGGAUGAGAGAUGGGAGAGAGAAAACAUGUAGCAGAAUGUUUCUGUAUUUUGACAACAGCUAUUAAUGUAUUACAAAGAGCACACUGUCAAGCUACUUAGGUUGCAACUUUUAACUUGCCCUUUAAAAUUCCUUUGUAACAAAGAGGAAAUAAGUUUAGCCCAGCUGCAACUUUAUUCCUUUCUUCCAGGCUUUAUUUAAAGAACCACCUUGCAACGAGCUCUCUGGCUCUCCAGUUUCUCCAGUCCAAGGUGGUCCAGAAGGCAGGCACUGGCUGAGGGCUCACAGCACCCUCUUCUAUUCCUGGCUCUGACACUGACCUGCUGCACAGAGGGCAGCUUGGUUCACAUCUCCGUGCCUCGCUGCCCUCCCAGCCCUUGUUUACUCUGUCUAUUUAGGCAACAAGCUCUUCUGGGCAGAGACUGCUCUUGCUGGGCCUGUACAACAGCUGGCAAAACAGACACAGGCUACCAGACACAACUGUAAAAUCACUAUACUCACCAGAAACCCCAGAGGCUUUGUGCUACUGCUCAGCUAUGGUUUAGCUGCAAAAAGAAUUAUUAAGCCGUAUUCUUCUGUGAAAUGCUGCCAUGCAUUUUUGGAAGAAAAAUGCUCCACUCACCUUACGUCAUAAAGACAGGUCUUGACUCUUGCCUGAGCAGCUCCUGUCACUGAGUGGAGCAAAACUCUUCUGUGUGGGGACUAUCUUUUUACCAUGCCCAUAACAAAGUCUUAUUGCAGUACAGGUCUACACAUAAAAUUAACACAACUACACAGAGCAAAAGGCAGCCUGACAUAGAGACAGGUGCCAAGAACCACAUACAUCCAAACCCACUGCAGACUUCCAAAACAGUAACACAAUAUUCUAUUAAGCAUUUACUUACUCCUGAUUCAAAGAAGAAAAAGUAUGUUUUCAACACCAAGAAUGUACUUAAGAACCUUUCCAAGUCAGGCCCUGCUAUCCCUAAUAUACACUAACUCAAUUGGUGCAGGUCUAGUGAUUCCCCUGCUGAGGAAUGAAGACGAUGGAAACAUGGCACAAAGCAAAUUUCUUUCGUCUUUGUAUGUGCAUGAUUGAAACAAUACCUCAAAUACUUCACUUCACUUACACACACAGCUCCUCAUUAGCUGAAUCUAUCAGAAAGGGCAAAUAGGAGAGGCUUGUCAAUGUUGUGAAUAUGCUUUUCAGCAUAACAACUCAUGCCUAGGAUUAAGUUCAUAUCUCCCUUUGACAACAUUAGCCAAUCAAUUGAACACUGUUUAAGCCUAAGUAUAUGUGCUGAGAUAAAAAUAGCCGGUAAAAGUGGAUAGCCAAGAUGGGAAGAGGGUAAUCUUAAAAGUUAAGUCAAAUUGUUUUAGGUACGAUACUUUUUCUUUCCCAUGCUGCUCUACAGCUAGGGUUUUGCAACCAGUUUCUAAUAAAUGUUCUCUCUUCCCUAAUUGGGCACGAAAAAUUCUUGUACGCAAGCUCACUGUGCAAACGGUUGUUUCACACACAAGCUAAAGCCUGCUUCCUCUGAUCUUCCUGUUACAAUUACCUGAAGAUAUACCUAACAGAAACAACAUUUUAAAGAAAUGGUGUCAUUUUCAAGUUAAUCAGUCUUUAAAAAAUGGGGAAGUGGAGGAGGGGGGAUAAGUUUCACAGCUAUCUUAUACUCUAAGCUCAAAUUUAUCUCUAUUUACAAAGCAUUAACAGAUGGCUUAUCAAAAGCCAUUUAACAGCAGAAAUGAUCAAACUAGUUCUGAGAUUUUUUUUGUUUAAGCAGUAAGAACUCCCUAGACUAGUUUUUAACUUAUGCCAGCCUCUCAGGGACCAUCAGUCUAAGAUCUAAUGUUAGAACCAUGCACAUUAUUUCAUUAAGUACAUUUACCACAAACCGUUCCAGCCUUUGCUUUCUUGAUUGCAGACAGAAUUGCACAAAUACCUCUUGAAAGUAAAAAACAGUGUUUGCCUCAUGCAGUGUUAUCCAAAAUGUGCAACAGAAGCCUCAGCUCUUGAGCAAGCCAUAGCCAAGCAUGACAUGCUCAAGACUGACUCUGUGUGAUUAAGAAAGCACAGCUGUCAAGAAGGUCCAACUACCCAUUAUCUUCACCAUCAUUCUAUUUACCUAAUGAUAUUCUAGCUUAAACACCUGCUUGGCUCAAAUUUAAUCUUCAGUGAGCAACCUACCAGUUUCUUAUUCAGAAUUACUCUCAGGAAGAAAGGCUGUGUGCCUACAAGCUUACCUAGCUCCCCUCCCCAACUUACAUUGGUUAGUCAAAUAAAAUAUAACCCCUCUCCUCAAAUCUUCACCCUUCAGUUGCAAUAAGAGCAAUAGUGGAGAUUGCUCUUGAUCUUGGAGACACACAUGAGGCACAGGCAGUAUAAAAAAGACAUGGCUAUUUAAAACCCUCAAGCUGCCACACAGGCUAUUAAACUCUUCAUCAGCUAAGUACAGACUUUAUAACUGUACCACAACCCAACACAUGCAUUUACUGCCAUUCUUUUGGAGAUGUACAGAUACUCAGACCCCCCCACAUCAAGAUAUGUCCUUGUCUUUUAUCUUUUGCCAGAACUGUCAGACUCACUGGAGCAAGACUCUUGAAACUUCCCCCAGAUGCUGGAUGUCCUCACAGGGAACACAAGUGUUUGGCUUUCAGGUAUUGUCCAAAAGAACUGGCACACUAUCUAUUUCAAAGAACUGAAGAUUGCAUGAGCCUUCCAUGAAGUUAAAAGUAAUUAAAAGAUUCAUUCUCUGGGAUAUCUCAAGGAUCCUACAUGACCAGAUCAUAAUGCCACAGUGCAUUGCUGGUGAUUGAACUCCCUAGGACCAAGGCAGUGCUGACCAAUGCAAAAAGCAACGCUCUGUACUAGAGUCCAAAGAAAAUUUGAAAAUAGGGCUCAGCACAAAAGCACAUCCUAGAAUGACUAACAAAACAAAACAAAACAACUAACCAAAGCAACUCUGUUCAUAGUGAAUCUAACAGCACUGAAAUCCCUGGGAGCUCAUGACACUCAAGCACCCUUCCCUUCACUUAAACUCUCUGACCUAACAAACUUCUUCUGUAGCUGUUUAUAGACCCACAUUCCUCUGCAGGGGGAAGUGGUGGUCCUUACAUGUGCUGCACCUGCUCCGCUGUACACCUGAUCCCUCCUGCAGCCGAAGCAGCAUAGUAUCACCUUAUUCUUAAUGAAAAAUACAGAACUUCAUUUCCUCAGAAGACAAAAUCAUAUAUCAUGGUAGACAGAGUCCUACGCAUAACCAUUCUGCAGCACUUACUCCUGCUUACCUCCUAGGGAACUGUGGUUAACUUUCCAAGCCCAGUCUUUGGCUGCAGCAUCCAUUGGCUAUAGGCCUAAAUCCACAAAAACUGACUGGGUUAAAGUCCUGGCCUGAAGACCCAACAGAGAUUUUUAGCACCGCUGAAGUCCUGCUCCUAAGAGGAGGGGCCACAGCUGCUUCUCUGUGCUUGUGCUACUGACAAGGUAGUACUAUGAGACAGCGAAACAGGCUUCAAACAUCCUUUACGAUUAAUGUCAACAGUGUUUAGGGCAACAAUACUGCAUUCCUGGAUAAGAAACAAGAUCCUGGAUCUCAGGCUGGCAGCUAUAGGGAAACACAGGAAGCGAUUCAGAGAGCCUAAAGCACACAAACUCCCUCUUGGGAUCCCUGAGGUAGCAAGGGAAGCCCAUGUGGUGUGGCUGCCUCCGAGUGGCGUUCUGCGUGCCAGCAAAUGGAGAGAGGAAACGCAACCUGUGGGUUCUUACCAAGUGCCAUCAAGGCCGAAAGCCCCAAAGCACUUCAAGAAAGACACUGGUGUCACACACAGCAUAACUACCAAGCUUUGUACGUCUAAUAGCACAUCUAGGCACAUCCUCCAGGCCUUUCCUCAGCCGCCAGCCCAGAUUUUGCUCCCUCACAGCCACUUUUCUGAGGCAUCUUUGAGGCUCUGGCAGACACAGGCAAGGCAGAGUGCUGCUCGGGAGCUGUGCGGGACAGCCCACCUCCCCGAGCGCAGACACCGCGUCGGGCCUCGGGGGUCUCUGGAGAACUGAGCUCAUUCGGAGAGGCCCUCGAGCUCCAGAAUCUGAGAGCUGCUCCUGCCGGGCCUGGUGCUUAGCGAGCCCCCGCUACGCUCUCGCGGGAACAGGAAGCGCUUCCCCACACCCCUCAGCCCUUCUGGGCACAGCCGGGCUCAGACCCCGCCGCCCCGCGCAGACCCGGGGCCGCCGCGCGCAGUCCCUCCCCUGGCAGGGCGGCCCCGGCGCUCGCCGCCCCUCUUGGAGCAGAGUAAAGACGGCGCAGCCGCGCUUCGAGAAUAGCGCCCCUCUUCCCUCCUCCCCCUUACGGCGGCAGGGAGCCCCCCUUAGCGACUACGCCAGGAGCGCAGCACGCCCCUUAGCAACCAGCUAGGCCGCAGCAUCCCCGGCCUUUCCUAGCCGCCGCGGCCGCCUCCCCCCGCCCUUCCGCCGCGGAGGCCGAGCUUACAGGUCGGUGCCGAGCUGGGUGAAGCCGGAAUUGAGGCACCCGCGGGCUAUGCGCUUCCAGAGGAGAUCGCGGCUACUGAGGAAGCGCAGGCGGCGGCAGACCUGGCCCAGGCGGCCCAAGGCCUGCACGUCCAGGAGCCUGGAGUACUGACAGCACAGAAGGAUCCUGGUCCAAAAUGGCAAAGUAGCCCUCCACAGACUGUGGAGCAGGAAAAUAUGAGUAUAAUGUUGUAUUAUUCUUUCUUACAGUAUUUUCCACUCUACAGAAGCCUGAAAUACUUAGGGAAACUUCUGCCUCAGAAUUAAAAAAUAUAUAAAUUAUGAAAAGUGAAUCAUCUACCUAGAAUUCUUUGUACAGGCAUUGUUUACCAACCACAUGCUACAGGUCCUUUUGCACAGUGGAGCUGGAAAAUAAAUUUCAGCAUAUAAUGAGGUUACCAUAGUAGACAGGCCUUUUAUACACUUACUUGCAUCCUGUUCCAGAAGGUCAUCUCAUCUGUUUAAUCUCAAGCACUCAAAUAUUCAUAUAUCUAAAUCACCAGCUCUGGAGGCCUUGUAUUUGAGAGGUUCAAAACUGCCAGCUGAGCAACUGUCUGGUCCAUUUACACUGAGUUUCAGUGCACCCUGGAAGUCAAGGAGGUUCUGGAGGAUCAGAAGACAGCAAAUGUUUUAUCAACAUUUCUAAUGAGUGAAUCAGAUGGUCAGAGUAAUUCAAAAUCUCACAACUUCAGAUUAAGUUCAGGUAAAAUAACAGCACAUCUGGUACAGGACUUAAGUGGCCAAUUGAAAGGGAGGUAAUAGAACAAACAUUACUUAAUAAAAGAUUAUGGAGAAUUUAUGUGAAUUCAGUAUUUUUUUUUUUUGGAUGACAUUAAUCUUAAGCAUGUAAUUAUAAGUACCUCUUUUGUAAUCGACUUUGGCAAUGUCUGAAACAUUAAAUUUGUUAAAAGCUGA